rnacentral:rRNA from 1 species
GCAAGGCCUCACGCGAUUGGUUCGGCCGAUUUCCGAUUAGCUAGUUGGCGGGGUAAAGGCCCACCAAGGCUACGAUCAGUAGGGGGUCUUUGAAGGAUGAUCCCCCACACUGGUAUUGAGACACGGGACCAGACUCAAAACGGGAGGGCAGCAGUAAGGAAUAUUGGACAAUGGGGGCAACCCUGAUCCAGUCCAUGCCGCGUGAAGGAUUAAGGCCCUAUGGGUCGUAAACUUCUUUUAUACGGGAAAAAUAUCCUGCUCGUGAGCAGGAUUGAUGGUACCGUCAAGAAUAAGGGUCGGCUAACUUCGUGCCAGCAGCCGGCGGUAUACGAAGGACCCGAGCGUAUCCGGAUUAUGGGGUUUAAGGGUGCGUAAGGUUGGACUAAUAAGUUCAAGUGGUGAAAGCCUGGAGUUAACUGAGGAAUUGC